GACGAACGCUGGCGGCGUGCUUAACACAUGCAAGUCGAGCGGUAAGGCCCUUUCGGGGGUACACGAGCGGCGAACGGGUGAGUAACACGUGGGUGACCUGCCCUCAGCUCUGGGAUAAGCCUGGGAAACCGGGUCUAAUACUGGAUAUGACUCCAUGACGCAUGUUGUGGGGUGGAAAGCCUUGUGCGGCUGAGGAUGGGCCCGCGGCCUAUCAGCUUGUUAGUGGGGUGANGGCCUACCAAGGCGACGACGGGUAGCCGGCCUGAGAGGGCGACCGGCCACACUGGGACUGAGACACGGCCCAGACUCCUACGGGAGGCAGCAGUGGGGAAUCUUGCGCAAUGGGCGAAAGCCUGACGCAGCGACGCCGCGUGAGGGAUGACGGCCUGGU
rnacentral:rRNA from 1 species